rnacentral:rRNA from 1 species
CUCGUAGGCGGCCAACUAAGUCAGACGUGAAAUCCCUCAGCUUAACUGGGGAACUGCGUCUGAUACUGGAUGGCUUGGAUUCGGGAGAGGAAUGCGGAAUUCCAGGUGUAGCGGUGAAAUGCGUAGAUAUCUGGAGGAACACCGGUGGCGAAGGCGGCAUUCUGGACCGAUAUUGACGCUGAGGAGCGAAAGCCAGGGAGCGAAACG